CUGUGAGAUCCCCACGUGCUGAUCUGUGGUUCCUCAGGCUGUGGCUGGCAGGCGCCCAUUUGUGGAGGCACUUCCAGGUUUAGCAAACAAGGGCAGAGCUGAGGCCGCGCUGAGGGGAGCGGGUGACGGCCGGCAGCCCUGCAACGCCCGGCCCCGUUGCCACGGCAGCGCGGCGGCGUCGUGUAAUGGCGGCGUCAGGAAGCUGCGGGCAGCCAUGGUGCGGAGCUAUAGAGCAUAAAGAUGUCUCCAAGGUGUAAGUGUGCAGAUUGUGGAAUAUUGUUUUCUUGCUCAAAAAUAGCUGUUUGCACUGGAAAUACUGUCACUACAAGACCUGGCACUAGAUACACUGUCACUGAAGAUCUUGUUAGAAGACGUGCAGAACAUAAUAACUGUGAAAUUUUUUCACUGGAAGAAAUCUCUUUACAUCAGCAGGAAAUAGAAAAAUUAGAAUACCUUGACAAAUGGUGUCGAGAUUUGAAAAUUCUCUAUCUUCAGAACAACCUAAUUCCAAAAAUUGAAAAUGUGGGCAAGUUAAAGAAGCUGGAAUAUUUAAAUGUUGCUUUGAACAAUAUUGAAAGAAUUGAAAAUCUGGAAGGCUGUGAAGAACUGAAGAAGCUUGACCUGACAGCAAAUUUCAUUGGUGAACUGUCCAGUGUUGAAACCCUAAAAUAUAAUAUACAUUUGAAAGAACUGUUUCUAGUGGGUAACCCAUGCACUGAAUUUGAAGGUUAUAGACAAUUCGUGGUGGCAACACUUCAUCAAUUAAAAUUUUUUUUUCCCUUUGGGAAGUAUUUGGAUAGUAAAGAAAUAGAACGUUCAGAGAGGAUUCAAGCACUUCAGUACUAUCCAGAAGUGAAGCAAAAAAUCAGAGAACAGGAACAAGCUUACCUUCUCAAAAGAGCCAAAGAAAAAGAAGAGGCUCAAAGAAGGAUGCAUGAAAGAAAGAACAGGAAAGAAAAACAAAUGGAAGCUAAGUAUGGACUUGACAGCCCAGACUCUCUACAAUACAAAGAAAAUCAUCAGACAGAAGGAAAAAGAGAAGAACAAACGUGGAGAACUGUUCAAGAUGAUGAAGAAGACAGAAGAUUCUGGGAAGAGCCAACACCAUAUACUCCAGAAUCUAGAUUAGAAACUCACAGAUAUAUUGAAGAAAAAAGGAAAGCUAAAGACAAUAUAAGAGGGUCAAAAAAGAGAGAGAAGCCUCUUCCAACACUGGUCACUGCAGAAGGAAAAGUUCUGAAUGUCAAUAUGCCUAAGCUUCAUUUCUCUUUGAAAGAUGAUGAAGAAAACAAUCAAUUCAUUUUGGAUCUUGCUGUUUACAGACAUCUGGACACUUCUCUGCUUGAUAUUGAUGUCCAGCCAACUUACAUACGUGUACUGGUAAAAGGAAAGACAUUCCAGCUUGUGCUCCCCGAGGAAGUCAAGCCAGAUAGCAGCUCUGCUAAAAGAUCACAAACAACUGGUCAUUUAGUUGUCAGUAUGCCAAAGGUUAAAGACACAAUCCUGGCUAAGCAGAAAUUAUCAACUUCAGUCAAACCUUCUGACAGCAACACAAUGCAAAAAAGUACAAGGUUGAGGACCAUCACCAAAGAGGACUUUACCAAUCAACUCCUGGUGUCAGUCACUAUCCAAACCAGCAGCACUCUGUAUGGAAGGCGUAAUACUUUUGUCCAUCCACCUUUUCCCCCUUAUUGGUACACCAGUCUAAUGACAGCAAAUGUUUCCAAAUCAGCCCUGAAGACUUCAGCUCUUCUCUUUUAACCCAGAAAGACCAUGGGCAGCUGUGGUGCAGACAGUCUCUGCCCUUCUGCUAAUAUACCUUACUCUCCAAUGCCAGAAGCUUGCAGGAAGCAGAAGGAAUUGAAUUCUGCCUUCCCUAUAUUUAUAUUCCAAAUGAAACAGGCUCAUGAACACAUUUCUUCUGGGACACAGAAACCUAUUUUUGAGAAACAAGAUUAGGAGCACAGCUCAUUUCAUCUGGGUAGCUCAUCAGUGAAGACGAUCACAUAUGUGAUUGAACCUCAGGUUGCUUGCACCCUUUCUCUGGGUGAUUUGUUAGGAGGGAGGGGAGAACAGCGACAACAGGAAUUAAUGCAAGAUCCUGAACAUAGCUUUCCUAUCUGGAAAGGGAGUCAGGCAUGACUAGAAUGUGUUGAGGUAGAGGAGCAUGCACUAUAGAGCUAACCAGCAUAUAUUCAGUGUAUAUAGUAUAUACCAUGCAGCUAAUGGCCUCUUGUCUUUUACUGACAAAGUGACCAGGUGAGACGAGUUCCAACCCCACAACAGUGUUCCAUCAAACAUGGUAGCGGUAAAGCACAGGGUAACAGUUUGAACCUUGAUGACAUUCAAGGUCAGGCUGGACCAGGUUCUGAGAACCCUCAUCUAGCCAUAGGUGGCCCUGUUCACUGCAGUGGAGUUGGACUAGAGGGCCUUUAAAGGUCUCUCCUAACUCAUACAAUUCCAUAACGAUUCUAUUCUAUGAUUCUGCGACUCUCUGAAUUCGGCUUCUCCUCCAUACUUGAUAAAUCCUCACUUGGAUCCUUUUGUUUUCACCUGGUUAGCCUUACUUUUGCCUGUGUCCAUCACUGUGAUCCUAAUGUCUCCAUCUCAGCUACAUUCAGGGAAAGCCGAAGUCUACAGUGCUUUCAAAGGCACUAAACGGAGAAUUCUUAUAAGGAGUCUUCCUAAUCACACAGGGAAAGCAAUAGCCUUGAAUACAAAAAAUGAGCUGAGCCUAUCUUCUACAGAGAAUAUAAAGAAGAAAAGUCUAUGGAGAAAUUCCUCAAAUCUUCUUCCUUCCAACUCCUAAGAACCAUGAGAAGCUCUGCUAAAAAUGUGUGUAUCAGAAACAUACUAGAAAAAUAAAUCACUGUUUAGUGUGCAUGUGACUGCAGGGCAGGAGUGCUGUCUUUCACCUGGAAACACCAUGUCUCAUACCCAGUGUGACAAAUCAGGCUGCUGUGAACAGCCUCUGCCAACAGCAUCUGAGAGCAGUCACUUCAGAACACUGCUGGAAACAUGUACUUGUGGUAAUCCAACCAGCCACUAAGUGUCAUCUUUGCUCCACAAACCCAGCUGGAAAGUACUUGUAUGUUGGAAAAGAAAAAGGAUGUUUGACCCUUAAGGAAUACUCAGAUAUAACAGCUGUUAGGAGCUAAACACAAUCCUUGUUGUAAACUAGUGAGCUUUAAUUAGCUCAUCUGCUUUAGUAAUGCACCACUCAGCCUCUCUGUUCUGCAGUUUCUCUCUGAUAUAAAGUAGGUAUUUGAACCUAGAGGUCCCUCCUUGCUUCUAGAGAAGUGAAGGGCUUAAUUUCUCUCUGCUAUUGCCUGUAUUGACAUCAGCUGUGUUAAACUAGGGAGGGAUUUGACCUGGUGAGUCAUAGGGCUGAGCUAGUGGGCACAAAAGCAAUGCUUUAUAUCUUCCUCUUUGUAAUUAGUAGCUGGAUCUCACAAUACAGCAAUUUCUCUGCUUCCUUCCUCAUUAAUUAAUUACUGUAUAUGAUUCUUCUGUUUUGGCCUUUGUCUCUUUUGUUACAGAUAACCUGUAGGUUUUCCACUGAACACUGGGCAAGGUUUUCUGCCCAGGGAUCAACUCCUACGUCAUUUGAACCAAGCCUCCCUACUUAAUGAUCAUAAUUCUCCUAAUGGACUCAGCCUUCUCCCCAGUUCCUGAAGGAAGGGCUUUUGUGUGGUUCCAGAUCCAUUCCCUGCCAAUGCAGAGAAUGAUGCCAAGACUUCAGGGACCUGCUACAUAUUUCAUGGCUUGCCAGGAGACAUGCUGUCCCAGUUUAAUUUACAACAAGAUGACUUGGAACUUUGGGCAACCUCCAGCAUCUCUCUCCCACACUCUGUAGUUAUGGUUCUCACAUGGGCAAGGCCAUGCACAAACCCAUUUCCAGCUGCUCAAGAUGCUCAAAGUCAUUUUCAUCUAUCAUUAGUCAUGCUGACUGCAAAGAGCUAUGCCUUUGCUUAGCCACAGGGCUCUCAGCACCUUGCUUUUUGCUUCAUAAUCCUUCUCCUUUACCCUCUCUAGGAAGUCCUAUACAGUACCAAAAGACAUGGGUAAGCACCACUACAUUAAUCAAAAUGGAUUUAAAGAUUCACUUCUUGGUUUCUUGAUACUAUAUAUAAAUUCUUAGGAAGCUUGAAUCCCUGCUGGGGUUGAUCAGGAAAUCAUUAGGCUGAAGUAGAAUAAAAUUAAAUCCUAGAGGAUACUAUUCUUCCUAAACUGUAUCAUAAGCAUGCAGAAAAAUAUGGAGAUUCAUGCAAAAGGAGGGCCAUGGAUACCAGAGAGAUUCUCCGCCCCCAAGAACUUUGGAUUGAAGAAGAAACAGAAGCAUGGAAAUGUUUGAAGCCCAGCACUGUACACAGCAAGUGGAUGUGAUUCAGCAGCACUGAAGAUAGGGGAAGGAUCAUCUCCUUUAACUUGAAUGUUAAGUCUGCUUUGCAAUCCUGCAUCAUGGUGUCAAGAUUCAGCCUGGUUCCCGUGACAAGGGGGUGAAGGGACCCACAGAUCCAUGCACCGGGAAGGAGAGGGAAAAGGUAGGGAGAUGGACCUGGACAACAAAGAACAGUUGGCAAUGAGCUAAAGGGAAAAAAACUUAGUUUACUAAAUUCAGUACAGAAUGUGAGAUAAUACAAUAUAAUACAAUAUGGUUGAAAUUGAAGCUAAUAAAUCAAAUAAAAUGUGAAAGAGAGAGAGUUUCUGAAGCUGAGGUCCUUAGUCUAAUUCUGUAGGUGAAAUGGCCAGGGAGCAAAGAGGGAAGUCUCAUGACUCCCCAGUCCAUUUUAUCUUUCCCUCUGAAUGGAAAAUGGAAACAGAAAAAUGAAGUCUUCCAGGAGCUGUAGUUCAUUCUUCUCUUCUGAGACCAAGAGACCGGAAAUACUGACAAUCAAUGGGACUGCAGCAUUAACUCUAUAACUCCCAGUGCACAGCAUGAUGUUAUGAUGCAGAACACUGGUGAAAAACCAUGAAAACCAUAACAUAUGUUCAUCUUGAUGUCCACCAAGUCCUUCUCUGCAAAGCUGCUUUCCAGCUGUCUUGGCAUCUAGCAUAUGCUGGUGCUUGGUGUUUUUCCCUUGCUAGGUGCAAGACUUUGCAUUUCCAUUUGUUCUGUUUCCUGGGGUUGAUGUCCCUCUGAAUGGCAGCACAACUGUAUGGUGUACCCACCACUUCUUUCAAUUUAGUACCACUUGAGAACCUUCCGAGGCUGUGCUCUCCUAUCAUCUAGGUCAGUAAAGCAAAUGUUAAACAAUAUUUGCCCCAGUAUCAACCCCAGAGGUACACCAGAAGUGACUGGCCUCUGGCCAGACUUUGUGCCACCGAUAGCAAAUCUUUGAGUCUGGCAGUGGAUUGCUUAUGACCUGCUGUGUUUCUCCUCCAGAUGAUACCAGAGUUAUUGAAGUCUCUCGUAAGGACCAGAGUCAGUGAACUCAACCACUAAUCCUGACCUGUAAGCCCACCAUCCAUUCCCAGGCAGAGCUCCAUACCUUUCUGCUGCUCCCACAAACAGAACAACUUCCUUCUGUCCUUCCUGAAGGGCCUCUCCAUCCACUGCAGCACUUCAGUCACCUGAGCUUUUCCAUCAUGGUUCUGUGAGCCAAAUGAUAUUGUUUGAUAAGUUUUCUAAUUCAAAUGAAGUAUUUUUAUUGCAUUAAAGUAAAGCGAUCAAGGUUAGAAGCCUUCAUAUGCCUACCUCCCUGUUCAUAACAAUGCUUAAUGAAUAAUCUUAAACAAAAUAAAUCACCUAAAAACAAGAUCUAUAUUGAUGAAAUAGAACUGCAUGGGAAAGAUGGAGAGGCAUCACCUUAGAAAACCAAUAUUCUCCAAUAAAACAUUAACAGAGUGGGAAACACUGCACUCUAAUGAAACUCAGACCUCAUUAAACCCAGUGUGAUCUCAAAUGUCCUUUCAAGUCAAAAUGAAAAGUGCAGUAGAAAACAAAGACAGAGGAAGGUUGUUGGCAUCUCAGUAGACAAUCCUCAUGGUAGAGCUUGGGAAUCAAGAGUGUUCAUCUGCUGUGGUGCUCACCAGAAGUUUUAGCAUUUUUGUCUUGCCGAGACAGCUGCUUCAGAAUGGGACUUGCUCGUAAAAAACAUGAUAUUUUUUUCCUGUUUUUGGUCAGUGUAGCCAAGUGGCAAAACUUCUGCCUAGAUGAGUUUGUGCCCUUGCUGUGGUGCUCAUCUGCAAGACUUGCCACAAUUAUUUAUUUUGCCAUUACUGAGACAAUGGAAAGUAGUUCACAUGCUGUGAUGUUUUGCAGUUUUUCGUGUUGUUUGUCUUUCGUCUUUAUAGCCAUACAUCUGUUUUUGGUCCUUUCUACUUUGUCUUUACUCAGAGGGCAGUGAGGCACUGACACCGGCUGCUCAGAGAAGCUGUGGAUGCCCCAUCCCUGGAGACAUCCAAGGCCAGGUUGGCUGGGGCCCUGGGCAGCCUGAGCUGGUGAGGGGCAACCAGCCCAUAGCAGGGGUAGGAACCGUGUGGGCUUUGAGUCCCUUCCAACCAGAGCCAUUCUAUGAUUCUAUGAUCUUUAUUCACAUAGUUUCACAUUUUCCCUAUGCAACUUGGUGAACAUUCUUUUUUGAAACAAUGAUAAUAAUUAGAAGUAUGUACUAAUUAUGGAUGUAUCAGCUUAUCUCCAGAAACUCAAAAAAAUGAUUCCACAGAGUCAUGCCAUUGAUCCAACAGCUUCAAGACAGAAAAAUCCAAUGCAGAGUUAAACAUUGCUUGCCUUUACACCCAAACUGUUUCACCGUGAGCAUUUUUUCAUUGUCUCUGAUUACUUAGUCAUAAAGAUUUAAGGAAUAAGGACAAAAAUCCUGUCUUCUUGGUGUGUCUUAAAACUGGUACUGAGCUUGCAAUGUCGAUAUUAAUAAAGGGUUGCAGCAGUUCAGCUAUUAAUACAUUUUCCUUGGCAGAGCUUAGCAGAAUAUGAUGAAUGCUGGGUAGAGUAUGUUAUGCAAAUCAGCAUAAAUAUAGGAAAGACCUUUUCCCUUCUGAAUAUAAGAAUAUUCAAAAUGAAUACUGUAGUUACCAUAUGCACACAGGAACAUAAGAUUAUGUGUAUCACUGGCAACAUCAUCUUAUUAGCUACUAACAUAUGGUUGAUGUGAGGCAUAACUUUCUUAAAGGAAGGGCCAUAUGAGGAGAAAGGUGAGGAGGAAGAACCAGAAGACAGAAAUUUUCGGAUAUAGUUCACAGGGGCAACCAGGGAUGCUUUUGAGAUUGAAAACUGCCUGUUUUUAUAAAAAAUGUAGGUCACCCUGCAAGUAAUGCCUCCUAUUUAUUUCCACAGAACUACAGGAGAUACAAAGAGCACAAUAACACUAUUUGAUAGAGCAAAUUCUCAGCUACAAAACAUUAUCUUUCAACAGUCACCACCAUUAGCUGUGCAUUUUCACCAGCUAUUAACAAGAGCUUGCAUGCUGCAUUCGUAAAUAUCUUCAUGACUAUCCAGAAUGUGGUUUGUCUUUCACAUCAUUGUCACCACUGCUAAAAUGGACCACCCACUGCCUCACUGUGCUCUCAUCCACUGUUUGAUCUCCAUAAACAUUCAGCAAGCAUCGAUGAAUGUCAGUAGAUGCCAUCUUUUCUUCGUGAAGGAAUUCAGUGCCAUGCCUUUGCUUCAUAAGCACUUCCAUGUCAGACACCAUUCUGCCAGACUGCCCCUCUGCUGCCAUCUGUCACAAAGCAACCAAAUGUAAUGGAAUAUUGGUUGGAAGAUUCAGCCUCUACUUUCAUGUCACUAACAUCCACCUGUGAUUUUGUGUGCCAACAUAAUAAAGUAGGAGGUACUGCUUUCAGAAUAGUCCUUGUAUGGGGAACAAUGUAAUCAAGAACUUUUGUAGGGGAAAAAGGACUAUGAGCCCUCUCCUAUCAUAUUUAUGUCACAUAUUUAACAUGGACUUUUUUUUUCUUUCUUGUCCCCAUUCUAUUAAGAGCAACCUUGCAAGAAGGAAUGCUAAAACCAAGCCACCUGAGGACAUAUUUUCCCUGAGUAUUCCAAGUAUUCAGUUCUGUGAAUAAGAACUGUCUUGUCUGAAAUGCUUCCCUAUUAUUAAACCAAGACUAUAAUAAUUCCAUAAGAAUAAA